CCCAAACUGGGAUUAGAUACCCCACUAUGCUUAGCCUUAAACAUAAAUAAUUUGUCAAACAAGAUUAUUCGCCAGAGAACUACUAGCAACAGCUUAAAACUCAAAGGACUUGGCGGUGCUUUAAACCCCCCUAGAGGAGCCUGUUCUGUAAUCGAUAAACCCCGAUAGACCUCACCACCCCUUGCUAAUUCAGUUUAUAUACCGCCAUCUUCAGCAAACCCUUAAA
rnacentral:rRNA from 1 species